rnacentral:rRNA from 1 species
CUACUCGGGUUUCUAAUCCUGUUUGCUCCCCACGCUUUCGUGCCUGAGCGUCAAUCUCAACCCAGGGGGCUGCCUUCGCCAUCGGUGUUCCGCCACAUCUCUACGCAUUUCACUGCUACACGUGGCAUUCCACCCCCCUCUGCCAGAUUCAAGUCGCCUAGUUUCCACUGCCAUUCCCAGGUUAAGCCCGGGGCUUUCACAACGGACUUCGGCAACCGCCUACGCACGCUUUACGCCCAGUAAUUCCGAUUAACGCUCGCACCCUACGUAUUACCGCGGCUGCUGGCAC